rnacentral:misc_RNA from 1 species
GGCAGAAUCAAUAAAAAAUGAUACUCCAUGAUAUAAGUAUGGAUUUCGGCACCCUGCCUGCAUGAAGGCUUGUGCAUAUAUUCGCAUGGGCAUAUUUCUUUUUAUGUAUAACUAAUUACCUAUCCAUGUCCAAUAUCAUGCAGAAGCACAUCAUUUAGCCUUCUCUCAGUUAAAAUAAGCAACCAGAAAGUAAUGUGUUCUAUAACGGAUACAGAACAUACAGAAUGAAGAAGCAUCUUAUGCACGUUGUGACAAGAUGUUGAUAUAAGGAACUUGCAUCAGAUCAUACAAAUAAAAGAAUGAAAACUGGGCAUAGAGGAUAUGCAAAGAAUUACAAAAUGGCUGUUGAUAAUAACAAAAUGUAAUUCUAAAUAAUGGUAGUGUAGCUUAUUGAUGCAUGAAUGCAAGUAAAGCAUUCAUCUUCCACAGGUAAAGGCAAUAUAUCUCAGGUAGUUUUAUUAGCAAAGAGAUUGAAAUCUCAAACCUGAACAUAGGACAGUAAAGGCUAACAAUUUCAAUUAAGGCUGAAGUGAAAAACAAAUAUAUGAAUAUGAUACCACUAGAAUUUCGAACUGGGCUUAAUAUAGCAAAUUUAUUAAAACUAUACAGAGCUCCAAAAUCUAAAUCGCCAAAAUAUUUAUUUAUCCUCCAUUUCCAGAGCUACAAAAGUAAACCCCACUAAAAAAAUAAGAUGAGGGGACACUAAAUUUCGCAUUCAAUCAACAGAAUUGAACAUAAAAACAAGCAGAAACAGCAAAAAAGAGAAAAGGGUACCUCAAAUUAAG